AUUGAUUGGCACGCCACGUGAACCGCACCAGGGCAAUAACCCGAGUAGGAGUUAAGCAGAUUCUCCCGGGCCGAUUUUCAGCGCCAACACACUUUUGCUAGUUUGGAGUGGAAGAGGUUAAAAAACUAGAAUCAAAAUCAGUAGCAUUUAACACUCACUUCAAAAACUUUAAGUGCUAAAAAUAGUGAAUUUCCCUAACUUUGCAGCCCAUUUU
rnacentral:lncRNA from 1 species